UGCGCAGGCGGACUUUUAAGUCAGUGGUGAAAUCCCGAGGCUCAACCUCGGAACUGCCAUUGAUACUGGAAGUCUUGAAUUUGGUUGAAGUGGGCGGAAUGUAGCAUGUAGCGGUGAAAUGCUUAGAUAUGCUACAGAACACCGAUCGCGAAGGCAGCUCACUAAGCCAAUAUUGACGCUCAGGCACGAAAGCGUGGGGAGCAAACAGGAUUAGAUACCCUGGUAGUCCC
rnacentral:rRNA from 1 species